GAUGAACGCUGGCGGUAUGCUUAACACAUGCAAGUCGAACGGAGUGCUUCGGCACUUAGUGGCGGACGGGUGAGUAACGCGUGAGAAUCUGGCUUCGGGUUCGGGACAACAGUGGGAAACUGCUGCUAAUACCGGAUGUGCCUAAGGGUAAAAGAUUAAUUGCCCGAAGAUGAGCUCGCGUCCGAUUAGCUAGUUGGUGUGGUAAGAGCGCACCAAGGCGUCGAUCGGUAGCUGGUCUGAGAGGACGAUCAGCCACACUGGGACUGAGACUCGGCCCAGACUCCUACGGGAGGCAGCAGUGGGGAAUUUUCCGCAAUGGGCGAAAGCCUGACGGAGCAAUACCGCGUGAGGGAGGAAGGCUCUUGGGUUGUAAACCUCUUUUCUCAGGGAAGAAAAAAAUGACGGUACCUGAGGAAUCAGCAUCGGCUAACUCCGUGCCAGCCGCCGCAGUAAUAC
rnacentral:rRNA from 1 species